rnacentral:rRNA from 1 species
AUUGAACGCUGGCGGCAGGCCUAACACAUGCAAGUCGAGCGGAUGAAGGGAGCUUGCUCCUGGAUUCAGCGGCGGACGGGUGAGUAAUGCCUAGGAAUCUGCCUGGUAGUGGGGGAUAACGUCCGGAAACGGGCGCUAAUACCGCAUACGUCCUGAGGGAGAAAGUGGGGGAUCUUCGGACCUCACGCUAUCAGAUGAGCCUAGGUCGGAUUAGCUAGUUGGUGGGGUAAAGGCCUACCAAGGCGACGAUCCGUAACUGGUCUGAGAGGAUGAUCAGUCACACUGAAACUGAGACACGGUCCAGACUUCUACGGGAGGCAGCAGUGGGGAAUUUUGGACAAUGGGCGAAAGCCUGAUCCAGCCAUGCCGCGUGUGAAGAAGGUCUUCGGAUUGUAAAGCACUUUUAUUUGGGAGGAAGGGCAGUAAGUUAAUACCUUGCUGUUUUGACGUUACCAACAGAAUAAGCACCGGCUAACUUCGUG